CCUGGCUCAGAUUGAACGCUGGCGGCAGGCCUAACAUUUGCAAGUCGAGCGGUAGAGAGAAGCUUGCUUCUCUUGAGAGCGGCGGACGGGUGAGUAAUGCCUAGGAAUCUGCCUGGUAGUGGGGGAUAACGUUCGGAAACGGACGCUAAUACCGCAUACGUCCUACGGGAGAAAGCAGGGGACCUUCGGGCCUUGCGCUAUCAGAUGAGCCUAGGUCGGAUUAGCUAGUUGGUGAGGUAAUGGCUCACCAAGGCGACGAUCCGUAACUGGUCUGAGAGGAUGAUCAGUCACACUGGAACUGAGACACGGUCCAGACUCCUACGGGAGGCAGCAGUGGGGAAUAUUGGACAAUGGGCGAAAGCCUGAUCCAGCCAUGCCGCGUGUGUGAAGAAGGUCUUCGGAUUGUAAAGCACUUUAAGUUGGGAGGAAGGGCAGUAAAUUAAUACUUUGCUGUUUUGACGUUACCGACAGAAUAAGCACCGGCUAACUCUGUGCCAGCAGCCGCGGUAAUACAGAGGGUGCAAGCGUUAAUCGGAAUUACUGGGCGUAAAGCGCGCGUAGGUGGUUUGUUAAGUUGGAUGUGAAAUCCCCGGGCUCAACCUGGGAACUGCAUUCAAAACUGACUGACUAGAGUAUGGUAGAGGGUGGUGGAAUUUCCUGUGUAGCGGUGAAAUGCGUAGAUAUAGGAAGGAACACCAGUGGCGAAGGCGACCACCUGGACUAAUACUGACACUGAGGUGCGAAAGCGUGGGAAGCAAACAGGAUUAGAUACCCUGGUAGUCCACGCCGUAAACGAUGUCAACUAGCCGUUGGAAGCCUUGAGCUUUUAGUGGCGCAGCUAACGCAUUAAGUUGACCGCCUGGGGAGUACGGCCGCAAGGUUAAAACUCAAAUGAAUUGACGGGGGCCCGCACAAGCGGUGGAGCAUGUGGUUUAAUUCGAAGCAACGCGAAGAACCUUACCAGGCCUUGACAUCCAAUGAACUUUCUAGAGAUAGAUUGGUGCCUUCGGGAACAUUGAGACAGGUGCUGCAUGGCUGUCGUCAGCUCGUGUCGUGAGAUGUUGGGUUAAGUCCCGUAACGAGCGCAACCCUUGUCCUUAGUUACCAGCACGUAAUGGUGGGCACUCUAAGGAGACUGCCGGUGACAAACCGGAGGAAGGUGGGGAUGACGUCAAGUCAUCAUGGCCCUUACGGCCUGGGCUACACACGUGCUACAAUGGUCGGUACAGAGGGUUGCCAAGCCGCGAGGUGGAGCUAAUCCCAUAAAACCGAUCGUAGUCCGGAUCGCAGUCUGCAACUCGACUGCGUGAAGUCGGAAUCGCUGGUAAUCGCGAAUCAGAAUGUCGCGGUGAAUACGUUCAAGGGCCUUGUAC
rnacentral:rRNA from 1 species